GCUUAGCCAGCGUAGCCUCCGAAGGCUCAGUGACCUCAGCUCUUGUCUUACCUGCUCCGGAGCCUGCAGCCCUCCCACUGCUUAGCCAUGGUCCUGCUACUCAUCCCUGUGCUUGAGGUGAUUUUUGCCCUGAGAGGAACCGGAGCGCAGUCAGCGACCCAACCUGAUGGCCAUGUCACUGUCUCUGAAGGAGCCCCACUAGAGCUGAGAUGCAAAUAUUCUUCUUCUACUUCACCGUACCUCUACUGGUACCUGCAGUGCCCCAACCAAGGACUCGAGCUUGUCCUCAAGUACUUUUCAGGGAACACCCUGGUUAAAGGCAUAAAAGAUUUUGAAGCUGAAUUUAGGAAGGAUGAAACCUCUUUUAACCUGAAGAAACACUCAGCCCACUGGAGCGACUCUGCUGUGUACUUCUGUGCUGUGAGUGACACAGUGACUGAGACUGCAGGGGGAGCUGAGCACAAACCUUCUGAGACACUGGGACUUUCUGUGACUCAAGAACUCAGCCUGGGGAGUUCUCAAGAAGGUCUUUUUUUUUUUUUCUGUGAAGGCAAAAGGGAAGGGUAG